UCGGAAUUGCAUGAAGCUUCUGUUGUGAAGUGCUUCCGUGCUGCAGACUUGUCUCUGCUUUGUGGACUGCAGGAGAUCUGUUUUGUGGACCCAAUUCAAACGUCAAACCUUUGGUGUUGUUGUUAUCGUUGUUGUUCUUAUUAUUAUUAUUAUUGUUAUUAUUAUUAUUAUUAUUAUUAUUGCUUUUUCUCAGCAGGAGAAUGUUCUUCUUGCUUUCUUGGUACAUUUGCAUUGUAAACAUGCAAAGUUCUUUACAUCUAUGCAAAAAGUCCUGAACUGAUUGUCAGUUCUGUGUCAGAAAUACACACCACUUCUUGAAAAGAGGAAAAAAAAAUAGUAAUGUACGCACACAGUUUAAAAUCAUACACUUAUUGUUUGAACCUUGAAAACCAGUGUUUUAAAGUUUUGGGCCUCCUAUUUCAGUAUUUUUAGUGAACUGAAGGAUCUGAUGGGUCUGCAUUAACACGGCCUCAUUCUUUCAAUAGUUUUAACACUAGACCGUGCAUUAAAGCCUAUUAGCAUCUGUUUGUGUCAUUUAGUAGAAAACAGAUCUUGUUUAAGUCCACACUACGUUCACUUGUAAACUAUGCAUAGCAGUAUUUAUUUUUCUAUUUAUACUUUUUUUUCCCCCCCCAUGUUUCCUGUAUUCAACAUAUCCUGGGAACUGAAUUUACCUUUUAUUUACUGGCCAUAUUGUCUUUUCACUUUCUGGCCAGUUAAUGAACCUCUUUCAGGUCUCUGCUGCUUAGUUCUGGCUUUAAGAGCAAACUUUAAAAAAAAAAGAAAAAAAGGUGCAAAUACUGUCACAUGCCGCGCUUCUGCUUUUCUUGUGUUGCUUUCGGUCUUGUGGCUGGAACUAGUGAAAAAGGAAUUGGACACCAAAAGUUAAGAGUGCAUUUGUCUGUUUGGCCCACUUGCUCAGUGCUUUUUGUGAUCUCAGCUGUUAACUACGGUUUCAUAUUCCACUUAAUUUUAUAGAUAAGUUGUGUUUUGUUUUGUUUUUUUGUGUUUUGUUUUUUGUUAAACUAGAAUAUUUUUAAUUGAAUAAAUAUUUCACACGAGAAAGAAUUUUAUUUUAAUGCUUGUUUAGAGUAUGCUUAGUCUCUUUACCUUGUUUCAAACUAUUUCAGCAAAAUGUGUUUCUGAUUAUACAAUACACAUUUAUAAACAGAGCACUGCAACCUAAUCUCUACAAUAUUUUGUAUUAUCAUUACUGCACAGUUUAAAAAAGAAAAAAAAAAAAGAGGGGGGGAAGUUUAUUUUUUGUUUUUUUUUUUAAUAAA
ensembl:lncRNA